AAACUACAUAGAGAGCAUGGCUAGCUGUGGAGCUCCUACAGGAUUCCAGAGUUCGAUGUACAUGGAUGACGACCUGUAGGGUUAUUUUGUAGGCUGCCAUUUGUUGGGUUAUAUUUUGGAAUCCUAUAUAGUGUACUUUUGAAAUGGCCUGUAGACAUGUUUAUAAGCUCUGAAUAUAUAUGUUGGAUUAUGGCGAUAUGAUUUUGGGUUUCGAUAUAUUAUAUGAUCGUG
rnacentral:lncRNA from 1 species